AUGAUGUCCGGUUCCGACCUCCAGGGCCGAUGGAUGCCCUCCUCCAUCAUGGAGGAGGACGUGCUAAAGCUGCGGGAGGCCAAGUACCUGGCUUAUGAGAUUUCGCACAGGUUGCCUGCCGAAGGGCAGGCCAUCCCCACCCCCGAGCCCGGCGAGUAUGUCGUUUUUGUAUCCCACCUCCGUCAGGGUUUAGGCUUCCCGAUGGAUCCUUUUGUGAGAGGGCUCAUGUUUUACUAUGGGUUGGAAUUCCACGAUUUGGCUCCGGAGUCCAUCCUCCAUAUUUCCGCAUUUAUUGUUGUCUGCGAAGCCUUCCUCCGCGUCGCCCCUCACUUCGGCCUGUGGCUGAAGACCUUCAAUGUGGCGCCGAAGAUGAUCGGGGGGCGUCAAGCGGAGUGUGGCGGGGCGGCCAUAAGUAGGAGGGCUGAUGCCCCGUGGCCCGCUGGCUCCUUCCAAGAGGAGCUCGGCCCGUGGCAGCAAGAGUGGUUCUAUAUCACCGUUUCGAGGGGCCGCAGACAAAAGCCGCCGCCCUUAUUCCGCCCGGGACCUCCACGACGGUUGAUGUCGUGGGUCAACCAAGGGCUCAACUGGGGGCCGUCAAAGGACGUGUCCCUACUGCAGGGCCGGAUUCGAGAUCUCCAAACGAGGGAGGUUGAUAUGGUGGUGGUAAUGCAGGUUAUGCUUAUUAGGCGUCUUCCGCCCUGCAAACGCUGCCCUCUCCGGCUGUGGGAGUUCAAUCCGGAGGGCUCACGGAUUCUUCAGCACUUCAUGGGUAUAACACCCCUGGAGAUGUACAAAUUAUUCUUCGGAUCGCAAGAGGCGCAUCCGGAAUUGAUCGAGGAUGCUGGCCUAAGCUGCAAUCGCCCGGAUACUCAAGUAAGUAGUUCCAAGUCCGGACAUACCGUUUGUUUGCCUUUCAGUAAUUCGCCUUAUGACCAACUUCCUUCUAAACAGGAGUGGAUAGCGGAAGCAAAAUUGAUAUGGUGUCCGGCCCCCCUCCCCGAGACCGCGCCGGAUUCCGUGCUGGUUCGGAUGCUUGAGGUUGCGCCUCCAGAGGAAGGCGAAGGGGAAAGCAGGAAAGCUACUGCCUCGCCUAAGGAGGCUCUUGAAAGAGGGGGGAUCGAGAAUCCCUCCCUCCAAGGGGAGAAGAGGACUGCCUCCGAGGACCCGGGGGCAAAAGCCCCUAAACGGGGGAAGAAAUCUUCGCCAGAGGGUCCUGCAUCCAGGGAGGCCCCGGCCGCACAAUAUCUCUUAAAGACUCAGCCCUCCAACGAGCCAUCGGAUCUCCGUCCUUCGCAAAUGAGCUCGUCUUCGGGGGACCUUCGUCCGGAGAUGAUGGAGAGCGAGACGCCUCCGUCCGGGGCGCCGUCGGAUAGGGCGGACGAGCCUGAAGUGUCGUCACGGAGGGAGCCCCCGGGUUCGGCAAAGCCGGAUAGUUCGGCGCCAACGGGUGUACGGCUGAAGGAUCUGCUUGAGAAGGCGUCUAUCUCAGAAGAUCACCACGCAUUGAUGAGCAUGGUGAUUGAAAGGGUUUCGUCCGCCGAAGGCGGGUUGCAUAAUGCCGUCAAGAGUUUGCUGGCGGGGUUUGAGGUGCGUAAAAAUGAUACACCUUUUAACAGUUUAGCAUAUAGAAUGCGCCCUGUAUAG
rnacentral:rRNA from 1 species